AGCUAUGGUUAUUAUUAGUCAUGUUCGACUUCAUGCUGCGCUGCGAGAACCGACAUCAUACGUUGAUGACGUCAAUGUAUCGCGAGAGCGAGUCAAGAAAUUACACUCUCGCGGUACAUUGACGUUAUCAACCUGUCAGCGCAGCAAGAACUCGAACACACGUAUUUGCGGGCGCGCGCCUCCGUCCUCGUGAGUUCAAAGUGGAUUUUAACCGUUUACCUCAGACGACAGUUUUCAUUUCUAUGGCAAAUUCUAAGGUCAUUUUCUUGUUGUGUUUUGAUGUUUUCCAUUGGCUGAAGAGCAGAUUACCAUGCAAUUUGCAGAAUUGUGAUAAAAUACACAGAGGUGAAGUCAUGUGUCUUUCCAGAUGCCCAAUCUGUACCACUCAAAAAGUAAUGAAGUGACAGUGUACCAUGACAAAAAUAUGAGCCUGAAGAGGAGAUUUGGGAAGAUGCUGUUUAUAAGUCUUUGCUUUGCCAGAUCACCUGUGGUCGAGAUGUCUGCUAACAAGAUGCCUUGUUGGUCUGGGCGAGUUUGAAGUCUCUCACAGACAGUCCAGAAGGUCUGGAGUCCAUCUUAGCUUUUAUUGAUGCUGUCAUCAGGUUUUAAGUACAGUAUGAGCCAGAAUGGAAGGGUGUUGGUGGCCAUAAGAAGACUGUGAGCUAAACAUACAACAAAAUUCAUAUUUGCAGUUUUCCUAGAAUUUUUUUUUCUAUUCAGAUGAAUAAAAUGACUUUUAAAUAUUAUUUUGUUUUCAUAUUUUAUGUUUUUAUU